rnacentral:rRNA from 1 species
UACGGAGGAUGCAAGCGUUAUCCGGAUUCAUUGGGUUUAAAGGGUUCGCAGGCGGCGUAUUAAGUCAGUGGUGAAAUCCCUCGGCUCAACCGAGGAACUGCCAUUGAUACUGGUAUGCUAGAGUAUAGUUGGCGUAGGCGGAAUAUUUCAUGUAGCGGUGAAAUGCUUAGAUAUGAAAUAGAACACCGAUCGCGAAGGCAGCUUACGAAACUAUAACUGACGCUCAGGAACGAAAGCGUGGGGAGCGAACAGG